rnacentral:rRNA from 1 species
UACGGAGGGUGCAAGCGUUAUCCGGAUUCACUGGGUUUAAAGGGUGCGUAGGUGGGUUGGUAAGUCAGUGGUGAAAUCUCCGAGCUUAACUUGGAAACUGCCAUUGAUACUAUCAGUCUUGAAUAUUGUGGAGGUCAGCGGAAUAUGUCAUGUAGCGGUGAAAUGCUUAGAUAUGACAUAGAACACCAAUUGCGAAGGCAGCUGGCUACGCAUAUAUUGACUCUGAGGCACGAAAGCGUGGGGAUCAAACAGG